ACCUACUUCCUGGCCCUUUUCCUAGCCACCAUGCUAGCCAGCAUCCUGCCCACUGUCUCUAGUCUUCAUGGCCAGCUCAUAGUUCUUGAAGAGAAGAGCAUGGCUCCAAGUUCCUGGUAAAUACAACUGCUUUUCAUUAAAGUGGCCGAGAGGGAGAAAUCCAGCCCAGCCCAGGUCAUGGUCACAGCCAUGAGCAACCAUCCUCAGCCAAGCCAGAAAGAUGCAGCUGAGGCCCCAGGAGACCUGCAGUUGCAGUCCAGCUCUGGGGUCCCAGGGUCACCCGUGUCAGCACCCACAGAAGGCAUCGGAGGAAGAAGAAUUCAAAUAGCCUGAGGACCAGUGGGGGCGGGGAGACGAUGCCCACACCCUCCUGGCAGUUCUGCCUGCUCUCUCUCCUAAUUCAUCUAUCACGAUAUGGCUGGAUUCCAUCCAUCCUACCAACUUCCUGCUCAGGAACUGGCCAUGACUUUUCCACAUCUCAACUGAAUUGCACUUCUGGGCUCAGUGUAAACGUCCUCUGUGGCUUUGCAAGCUGGACAUCAUCACGUCCUCCUCCCAUGGUUCUCUAACCCAAGCCAUCCCCAUGUCCAGCUACUCUCCCCACAGAUAUCCUGCCAAGUCCUUCCACAUCAUUGCUCAUGAACUUUAAAAAAAAAAAAACCAAUAAAAAAACAACCCAGAAUGUCUUUUGUCUCUCUCAA
rnacentral:lncRNA from 1 species